rnacentral:rRNA from 1 species
GUGGGGAAUCUUGCGCAAUGGCCUAACGGCUGACGCAGCGACGCCGCGUGAGGGAUGACGCUCUUCGGAGUGUAAACCUCUUUUGCCUGGAACGAACUAUUGGCUUUUGCCGAUUUGACGGUACCGGGUGAAUAAGCACCGGCUAACUCCGUGCCAGCAGCCGCGGUAAUACGGGGGGUGCGAGCGUUGUCCGGAAUCACUGGGCGUAAAGGGCGCGUAGGUGGCGUGAUAAGGGUGUGGUGAAAGCCCGGGGCUCAACCCCGGGUCGGCCAUGCCGACUGUCAGGCUAGAGUGCUGUAGGGGCAGGCGGAAUUCCGGGUGUAGCGGUGGAAUGCGUAGAGAUCCGGAGGAAGACCGGUGGCGAAGGCGGCCUGCUGGGCAGUUACUGACACUGAUGCGCGACAGCGUGGGGAGCAAACAGGAUUAGAAACCCCUGUAGUCC